rnacentral:misc_RNA from 1 species
UCAAACUUGGUCAUUUAGAGGAAGUAAAAGUCGUAACAAGGUCUCCGUUGGUGAACCAGCGGAGGGAUCAUUAAAGAGUUUAAAAAAACUCCUAAACCCAUGUGAACGUACCUUCUGUUGCCUCGGUAGGCAAAGCUGUGCCCGUUACUUUUGUAGGAUCCUAUCCUGUAAGACCUUACCUGGAGAGACCUACCUAGCGGAGGAGCGCGGUACAGCCUGCCUGCCGGUGGCCUAGAAAAUUAAAUUCUGCUUUUUUAAUAGUGGUAUUCUGACGAGUGGAUAAAUCUAAGUUUAAAAACUUUCAACAACGGAUCUCUUGGUUCUGGCAUCAAUGAAGAACGCAGC